UUUAAGUACUUAAGUUAAGUGCUCAAAAGUGAUUUUCAACAUUUGCAAAACAACUGACUGUUUUAAAGUGCUUAAAUGCCGUUUGACUUGCCAACACAUAUUUAAAUGUCGUCUAAGUGUACCGUUGCUCAUUUUACUUUCAAACGCAUUCCAUUGUGACUCUUAUAUCUGACACCCGCUUCAUUGACCCAGCCCCACAAAACGCCGCGCUGUCUGUGCGAGUCAUACUUGCAUUAAGUCAGUGACGAAGAGAGUGACGAAGAGGGAUAGAACGAAGCUCUGAGCAAGAGUGAGUGAGGGUGAGGAGACUGGCCGACUAACUGACUCAGUGUAUGCCAUUUACCGUUGCGGUUGUUGUUUUGGGCAA